UUGUUGUUGUUUAGUCGUUUAGUGGUGUCUGCCUCUUCGUGACCCCCUGGACCAGAGCAUGCCAGGCACUCCUGUCUUCCACUGCCUCCCGCAGUUUGGUCAAACUCAUGCUGGUAGCUUCGAGAACACUGUCCCACCAUCUUGUCCUCUGUCGUCCCCUUCUCCUUGUGCCCUCCAUCUUUCCCAACAUCAGGGUCUUUUCCAGGGAGUCUUCUCUUCUCAUGAGGUGGCCAAAGUCUUGGAGCCUCAGCUUCAGGAUCUGUCCUUCCAGUGAGCACUCAGGGCUAAUUUCCUUCAGAAUGGAGAGGUUUGAUCUUCUUGCAGUCCAUGGGACUCUCAAGAG